ACACUGUAAGGCAUAAGAAAGCUCAUGCAGUAUGCAGUCCCUGACUUAGUAAGGAGCAGACACCAGUAGGAGAAGGCAGCCAAAUCCUCUGAGCCUAAGGAGAGGAGAGCUGGGCGUACUGCCAUAUGGAGAAGAUACACAGAGAGAAACUGCCACCCAGCUCCAGAAAGCAAGAUAGAAGAUAGGCAGACCCCAAGGAAAGCAGGAUUCAAGCUGACAGGAUGCAGGAUCAGGAACUUUGGAGACUCAGGAACCACGCAGGUGAACAGGAUGUGGAAGUAAAAGUGUGGCUAUGUGCAUGCAUAUGUGGGAGCUCUCAUAAAUUCCACAUGGGGAAGGCGCCAGAAAGAAAAGUUCCAAGUUUAAACAGCCCUAAAUAUUGUCUAAAAAGACACUUGUUAAAGUGUGUUCUGUGUCUAAAAGUCCUGAGAGCCUUGAGAUUGUCAUUUGUCUUUUCUGGUAAAUAAGAGUUGUUAAACUGCUUCUUAUCAAGAGUGUACUGUUAAAGUUUGUUUUAUAAUAUGUU